rnacentral:rRNA from 1 species
GAUGAACGCUGACAGAAUGCUUAACACAUGCAAGUCUACCAAGAAUCACUUCGGUGAGGAAUGGUGGCGGACGGGUGAGUAACGCGUAAAUAAUCUGCCCUUUAGACUGGGAUAUCCUUUGGAAACGAAGGUUAAUACCGGAUAUUAUGAGAUGGACGCAUGUUCAACUUAUGAAAGCUAAAUGCACUAGAGGAGGAGUUUGCGUCCCAUUAGCUAGUUGGUGAGGUAAAGUCUCACCAAGGCCACGAUGGGUAGCCGGCCUGAGAGGGUGAACGGCCACAAGGGAACUGAGGCACGGUCCUUACUCCUACGGGAGGCAGCAGUGGGGAAUAUUGGACAAUUGACCAAAAGUCUGAUCCAGCAAUUCUGUGUGCACGAUGAAGGUCUUCGGAUUGUAAAGUGCUUUCAGUAGGGAAGAAAAAAAUGACGGUACCUACAGAAGAAGCGACGGCUAAAUAUGUGCCAGCAGCCGCGGUAA